GGUUGAAUGGUGUAACGGUAGCACAUAAGAUUUUGAUUCUCUUGAAUCUUCUUGUGACCUGGGUUCGACUCCCAGUUCGACCU
rnacentral:tRNA from 1 species